UGGGGAAUAUUGGACAAUGGGCGAAAGCCUGAUCCAGCCAUGCCGCGUGUGUGAAGAAGGUCUUCGGAUUGUAAAGCACUUUAAGUUGGGAGGAAGGGCAGUUACCUAAUACGUGAUUGUUUUGACGUUACCGACAGAAUAAGCACCGGCUAACUCUGUGCCAGCAGCCGCGGUAAUACAGAGGGUGCAAGCGUUAAUCGGAAUUACUGGGCGUAAAGCGCGCGUAGGUGGUUUGUUAAGUUGGAUGUGAAAUCCCCGGGCUCAACCUGGGAACUGCAUUCAAAACUGACAAGCUAGAGUAUGGUAGAGGGUGGUGGAAUUUCCUGUGUAGCGGUGAAAUGCGUAGAUAUAGGAAGGAACACCAGUGGCGAAGGCGACCACCUGGACUGAUACUGACACUGAGGUGCGAAAGCGUGGGGAGCAAACAGGAUUAGAUACCCCGGUAGUCCCUGAGCGGGCUGGCAAGGCGCAU
rnacentral:rRNA from 1 species